AAAAAAAAGAAAAAAAAUCUAGAAGGAUCUUCUUAUACUGCCUUGGGGACAGUAGCAGGUGUUAAAGGCUGAAUAUAUUUUUUUCUUUAGUUUCAAGUAAUUUUUAGCACUAGAUGAACUGUUAUUGCUUUUUUGAGAUUCUAUCUCAGGUGCAGGUGGCUUCUAGCUUCUUUGGCAGGGAAAAGAGGCAUGAAGAAAAGAAGCUAAAUUCUGUGCAAACUCCUACUCAUCCUUCAAAGCCUAUUUGAACAUCCUCUCCUUUACGAAGCCUUCCCUGAUGGCCCUGGGGAGUUAGGUGUCUUUCUCUUUCCUCAGUACCACCACUUAGGGAUGGUGACAGUUACACUGCAUUGGAACUAUUUGCAUGUCUCUCUCCUCUUCUGGAUUCUGGUCCCCUGAGAGCAAGAUAAAGGCAUCAGCGUUCAGGAUGAAUGCAUGACCCCAAAUCCAAGGUUUUCUGGCAGUGGUUACGAUCAUGAUGCUAGAAAUAUCAAUUUAUUGCAGUUGUCAUGACCCAGCUUCUGGACACCAAAUAAAAAAGCAUUGAAUGCAAAUGAUAGAGCACAGGUGAAGGAUGGUGAAUUUUAGGAGAACCUUAAGUCUGCACAAAACCAAAUUGUUCUCCCUCUCAUGCUGGUACCUGAGAGAAUGUGGGACACUCCCUUCUCCCUUGGUCAAGAUUAGAGGAGUCCCUUUAGUUUUUAUUUAUUUUUUUGAGACAGAUUUCUCUCUUGUUGCCCAGGCUGGAGUGCAGUGGCAUGAUCUCAGCUCACUGCAACCUCCCUCUCCCGGGUUCAAGCGAUUCUCCUUCCUCAGCCUCCUGAGUAGCUGGGAUUACAGGCACACGCCACCACACCUGGCUAAUUUUUUGUAUUUUUAGUAGAGACGGGGUUUCACUAUGUCGGCCAGGCUGGUCUCAAACUCCUGACCUCAGGUGAUCCACUCGCCUUGGCCUCCCAAGGUGAUGGGAUUACAGGUGUGAGCCACUGCACCAGGCCAGAGGAAUCCCUUUAUAAAGCUGUGUUUUCGGCUGGGUGCGGUGGCUCACGCCUGUAAUCCCAGCACUUUGAGGGGCCGAGGCAGGCAGAUCACCUAAGGUCAGGAGUUUGAGAUCAGCCUGGUGAAACCCCAUCUCUACAAAAAUACAAAAAUUAGCCAGGCGUGGUGGCGUGCACCUGAAAUUCCAGCUACUAGGGAGGCUGAGGCAGGAGAAUCACUUGAACCCGGGGGGCGGAGGUUGCAGUGAGCUGAGAUCGUGCCACCACAUUCCAGCCUGAGCAACAGAACAAGACUCUGUCUCAAAAAAAAAAAAAAAGAAAGAAAGAAAAAGAAAAGAAAAGAAAGAUAACUGUGUUUUCAGUGAUUUUCCCCAAGACUUUUUGUUUUGUUUUGUUUUUUUGAGACAGUGUCUUGCUCUGUUGCCCAGGCUGGAGUGCAGUGGUACAAUCUCAGCUCACUGCAGUCUCAGCCUUCUGGGCUCAAGUCAUCCUCCCUCUUCCCACCCAAACCUCCCCGGUAGCUGGGACUACAGGCAUGUGUCACCACGCCCAGUUGAUUCUUGUAUUUUUUGUAGAGACGGGGUUUCACCACGUUGCCUAGGCUGGUCUUGAAUGCCUAGGCUCAAGCGAUCCGCCUGCCUUGGCCUCUAAAAGUGCUGGGAUUACAGGCAUGAGCCACAAUACCUGGCCUUCCCCAAGACUUUUAAGUGAAACUUAGAAUCAAAUAAUGCACUUCCAGCAAUCCUGAACAAAUCUGAUUUUUCAAGACAUUGCUGAAACACUUCAAUUUGAGAAAUGUUUAUUCCGACCCAAAGCCAUACCCAGGGCAGCUGUCUUCUUUUUCCCUUUAUUCCAUAAGGUAAGAAAAAAACAUACUCACAGAGCCUUAGAGUUGUAAAGGCACCUGGUCACCUGGAAGGUGACUUGAAAGAACCCCUGCCCCUCCUCUUGCAUAUACCUCUGGAUUGUUGGGGAAUCUGCAUUCAUUUCUUCACCCGCACUGCCUCUGUACAGAACCCCGCUGAGUCAGUGUCUGUUCCAGGCACCUCCACACGUGUUCCCAUGUGCUGAGGGGGCCAUUGGUGGGCAGGCAGACCUCAGAAACAGUUGGUUGCAGUUGCUAUCACUUUCCUUUAGAUAUCUAGGCAGUAUUUCCUAGAGUGAAGUCAGAGUGGCUCAGGCUAAGAUGGGCUGCCUUUGUUUUGGAGCCCGGAACUAUACAUUCAACAAGCUCCUUCCUGUGUGCCAGGCACUCUGCUAGGUCGUCUUCACGCACAUUCCCACAUUUUCUGGUAGAAACACACAACAGCAAUGAAGGAAAAAAAAGGAAGCUCUCAAAGAAGUUAAUGCUUUGUUCCAGGUUAUCUAGCAGAAUCGAGAGCUAACCCACAACUUACAUCUCAAGUUUGGUAGUUAAUCUCAUAAUUUUUUAAAAAUGAAAACAGCCAGGAUUUAUGCAGUUCCAAGAGCCAGCCGGGUAAAAUAUAGACCCAACUCUGUUUUGGUGAAUGGAGGGGAGAUGAGAAGAGAAAAACCUCCCAGAACAAAGGAGGAGGUAUAAUUAUGUUUGCCUCAGAGAAAACUGGGAGAGAAACCAUUCAUCUUCCAUUCAUUCAUCUUCCGUUCCCAGAUCUUGGAAGAAUAGUCACUGUAAUGUGGGGGCUAGAAGCAUUGGCUUAUGAAGUGGACAGGCAAAGGUAGGUUUUCAGCUCCACCACAUCCUAGCUAGGUAAACUUGGACAAGUUGCUUAAACUCUCCACUACUCCAAGAGGUUACAGAUCACUGAAAGUACAGACAUUGGCAAGUAUUUUUUGGAAACACAUUAUGGGUCCUAAGGACUAUAAUAUAGUCUAUAAAUCUGGAAUUUUAUGCUGGAAAAUACAACUUGUUUUCAAAUGGAAAAUGAUUGUGUUUUGUAUAAAACAACAGAGUCACAUUUUAAGACCAGGCUGGAUAACAUAACAAGACCCCUUCUCUACAAAAAAUAAUAAAAAUAAGCCAGUUAUAAAGAGAGCUGAAUAAUAACAAAAGAAAAAAGAAAAAAAUUAGCUAGGUGUGGUGGUGUGUUUGGGAGGCUGAGGCAGGAGGAUCACUAGGGAUCAGGAAAUCAUGACCAGCCUGGGCAACAUAGCAAGACUCCCAUCUCUACCAAAAAAAAAAAAAUUGUUUUUAAUUAGCUGGGCAUGGCAGUGUGCUUGGAAGGCUGUGGUGGGAGGAUCACUUGAGCCCAGGAGUUUGAGGUUAUGGUGAACUAUGAUUGCAGCAUUGCACUCCAGUCCAGGCAACAGAGCAAGACAGUGUCUCUGAAAAUAAAAAUAAAACAGCAGAGUCACAUUUUCAAAUUGUAGAUGCCAACCUCUUCUUUCCCAGGCCUGACUGCCUCACACACUUUGUUUAGUAUAGAGCACUUCCCCAUAAGCCACCAAGCCCCAGUUAUGGCGUAAUUCAAACCCUGCCCCUAGAAUUUCAUGUAGGAGGGUCACAGGUCUGUGUGCUCAGCAAAUGUUUGCUGUCCUCUGCUGGGAAUUUUGUUCCAGGUCACACUAACAGGGCAGAUACUUGGCAGCCUGUGACCAGGUCCAGCCCACUCAUUGGUCAGAUGGAAAUUUUCUUUCCAGUUUGGAGGAGGGAGCAACUGGAGAAAGCUUAUCCAAGGUUCAUCGCUGUGACAUUUUUCCUGCUUUGUGGACCCCAUUUCUGCUUGUGACCAGUGAUCAAAUUUUAUACAUACUUAGACAUAUUUUGAAGACAUGAGUACCCUACUGUUUCACGUAGACCUCUGGGAACUGUCAAACUUCUUUCCUACCAAAUUCCUUUUUUCUUUUUUUUUUAGACAGAGUCUCACUCACUCUGUUACCCAGGCUGGAAUGCAGUGGUGCGAUCUCAGCUCACUGCAAACUCUGCCUCCUCAGGUUCAAAUGAUUCUCCUAACUCAGUCUCCCGAAUAGCUGGGAUUACAGGUGCACGACACCAUGCCCAGCUAAUUUUUGUAUUUUUAGUAGAGACGGGGUUUCACCAUGUUGGCCAGGAUGGUCUCCAACUCCUGACCUCAAGUAAUUCACCCGCCUCAGCCUCCCAAAGUGCUGGGAUUACAGGCGUGAGCCACUGCGCCCAGCCCUUGGCUACCAAAUAUCUAAAGAUAGAAGAAAGGAUGAGAUUAAUGAUAGACUAAGAAGAGUUUGGGAAUGCCUGUUGGUAAUUAGGGUGGACUGUCUUUGGAAAUAAUAAUAGGUAACAAAUAUGUGUUUUCUCUAUGUCAUGUGCUGUGUUAAAUACAGGAUCUUAUUCAAAGCUCAGCCCUCAUUUUGGAGACAAGGAAACUGAGGCUCAAAGAGGUUAAGCAACUUGUCCAAGGUUACCUAGCUAGGUGGUGGAGCUGAAAACCUACUUAUGCCUGUCUAUUUCAUAAGCCAAUGCUUCUAGCCCCCAUGUUACAGUGACUACUCUUCCAAGGUCUGGGAAUGGAAGACGAAUGAAUGGAAGAUGAAUGGUUUCUCUCCCGGUUUUCUCUGAGGCAAACAUAAUUAUACUUCUUCCUCUGUUCCUGGAGGUUUUUUCUUCUCAUAUCACCUUUAUUCAACAAAACAGAAUGGGUCUAUAUUUUAUCCAGCUGGCUCUUGGAACCACAUAAAUCCUGGUUGUUUUCAUGGAAAAAAAAAAAAGAAAGAACAGAAAAAGUACAGCUUGCUAUCUUAUCCCACAUGAAUAUCAGAUGUGCAAAGUCAGCUAUAAAUAAGAGGAUAUUUUGGCCAGGCACAUUGGCUCACGCCUGUAAUCCCAGUGCUUAGGGAGGCCUAGGCGGGCUGAUCACUUAAGGUCAGGAGUUCAAGAUCAGCCUGGCCAACAUAGCGAAACCCCGUCUCUACUAAAAAUACUAAAAAAAAAAAAAAAAUUAGCCGGGCAUGGUGGCAGGUGCCUGUAGUCUCAGCUACUCAGGAGGCUGACCCAGGAGAAUCACUUGAACCCAGGAGGCAGAGGUUGUGGUGAGCUGAGAUUGCGCUACUGCACUCCUGCCUGGGUGAUAGAGUGAGACUUUGUCUCAAAACAAAACAACAAAACAAAAACAGGAUAUUUUUUAAAAUGCUGAGAGUCCCUAAUUCAUUCUCAGGAAAUUCAGUCUCCUACAAGCCAGAUCAUGCACAAAUUCUCAGCAUCACCUAAAGCCUAAGCCACCUCACCAAAGGGGGAGGGAGGGAUCAGUUGUUACCAUUUUGCAGUCAAAGCCCCAGGGUGUGUGUCUGAGAAGACUGAACUUGAGUAAAUUAAGCUCUUCAGAUAAAUACGGUUUGCUGAAAUUAAACAUGAAACAUUCUGCAAAAGUAGGUGUACUAUCCGGAAGCCAAGUAAUUAACAUCAAUGCAGGACCCCGGAACAGAAAAAGGUCAUUAAAGGAAAAACUGGUGAAAUCCAAAUAAAGACUAGAGUUUAGUUCCUAGCAAUGUGUCAGUGUUGGUUUCUCAGUUUUGACAAAUGUGCCACAGUGGUGUAAGCUGUUAACAUUAGGGGAAACCGGAACCGGGUGAGGGCGUGCCUGAGAAUUAUCUGUGCUAGCUUUGAAACAUUUCUGUACAUUUAAAUUAUGCCAAAAUAAAAAGUUUAAAAUUUCAGUACCAAUGAACUGGUUUUCUUUCUUAUAGGAAUACUGAAGGGGGCUUGUAACACUUAAACUUCUUUCUCUGGAGACAGGGUCUCACUCUGUUGCCCAGGUUGGAAUGCAGUGGCAUGAUCACAGCUCACUGCAGCCUCGACUUCCUGGACUCAGGUGUUUCUCCCACCUCAGCCUCCUGAGAAACUGGGACUACCAGUGCACGCCACCAUGGCUGGCUAAUUUUUUGUAUUUUUUGUAGAGAUGGGGUCUCACCAUGUUGCCCAGGCUGGUCUUGAGCUCCUGAGUUCAAGGGAUCCGCCCACCUCAACCUCCCAAAGCGCUGGGAUUACAGGCAUGACCCACCGCAUCCGGCUAAGCUUCUCUCAAACAAGAUAAAGCUUGCUUCUCUUGCUACCUUUGAACCUCAGCAUAAAGAAUAGUUACCAACAAUGGAGAGUUUGUGCUUUCUUUUAAAAAAAAAAAGCAAAACCAGAUGCAGAGCCAGGUCAGUGCCAAGUGAAAAAGAGCCAUGCGAUAUCUUCGCAUUUUUUGAAUGAAUCUUUUCCUUUUGUUGUCAUGCCCUUUUAGUGUCAUUUUUAAUUGACUGGGCAAAUGAACUGCAGCAUUUUGUAGAUGCCAAAGAGGUACUGAAUUUCUUAGAACCCAAGUGCACACAAGUGAACUUCAGGAAGUUUUGCAACUUUUUUUCCAGAAAGUGGUGGGCAGCCACAGGACCGAAGGAAACACCCGUCAACAUAACCAAGAGGAUUUCCUGCCCACACACUCAGCGUCUCAACGUUAUUUGAACGGUUUGUAGAUGUCUUUCUUUAGAAAUAUACUAAUAAAAUUGGAAAUACGGGAUCAGUAGUCCUAGCAAACCAAAAUGACUUCAUCCAUUUCUGGAGAAUAAUGAAGUCCUAUGCAUUCAAGUUGUUUUCUUUUUUCUUCUUUCUUUCUUUUUUUUUUUAAGACCUUUUCUUGGUUAUGACAAAUGUAACACAAUAAUUUUUUUUUUUUUGAGAUGGAGUCUUGCUCUGUCGCCCAGGCUGGAGUGCAGUGGCACGAUCUCAGCUCAUUGCAACCUCCGCCUCCCAGGUUCAAGUGAUUCUUCUGCCUCAGCCUCCCGAGUACCUGGGACUACAGGCGCUCGCCACCAAGCCCAGCUAAUUUUUGCAUUUUUAGUAGAGACAGGGUUUCACCAUAUUGGCCAGGCUGGUCUCGAACUCCUGACCUCGUGAUCCACCCACUUUGGCUUCCCAAAAUGCAGGGAUUACAGGUGUGAGCCACCGCGCCUGGCUGUAACACAAUAAUUUAAGAUGACAACAUUCGAGGAAGUUAGAACUGAGAAGAGGGUACACAGCAUUUUCUGCGAGAUUGACUCAACUUUGAUUCCAUCAAGGAAACAAAAAUAUUGUAUAGAAAUUUACUCUUCAUUCUCUCCCAAAACAUUUAAGAGUUUUUCAUUUUUCUUUGUAAGAAUAUAAAAGGUUUUCCUAAACUCUUUGCAUUCUUUUCCUUUUUCUUCUUCUUUUUUUUUUUUUUUUUUUUUGAGACAGGGUCUCUCUCUGUCACCCAAGCUGGAGUGCAGUGGCACUACCACUACCAUGCCUCACUGCAGCCUGGACCUCCUGGGCUCAAGUGAUCCUUCCACCUCAGCCUUCCAAGUAGCUGGGACUGCAGGCAUGCACCAUGACUCCCGGCUAAUUUUUGUAUUUUUUGUAGAGACAGCGUCCCACUUCGUUGCCCAAGCUGGUCCAGAACUCCUGGAAUAUGCCCGCCUCGGAUUUCCAAAGUGCUGGGAUUAUAGGCGUGAGCCACCUGCACCCGGCCUCUUUUUCCAUUAAUUGGUAUGUUUAAAACAAUGAGCAACAUACCUUCCUUGCUAGAAUCUGCCUCUUGACUCUAGCAUUGGAAUCUAUAAAAUACAAUGCCAAGCAAAGGCAUAGGACACGAGUCCUUUACAAUGAGUGUUGAAAUCAUGGCAUCAGGGACCCAGAAUUCCUGAAUUAUAUUCCUAUUCUUUGCCCAAGCCAUUUUUAUUUUAUUUUAUUUUACUUUAUUUAGAGAUGGGGUCUCGCUCUAUAGCCCAGGCUGGAGUGCAGUGGCAUGAUCAUAGCUCACUGCAGCCAUGAACUCCUGGGCUCAAGCUCAAGCAAUCCUCCUGCCUCAGCCUCCCAGGUAGCUAGGACUACAGGCACAAGCCACCACACCUGGCUUCCCGAACAAUUUUAAAAUUCAUUUAGUCAAUAAACAGGGAGAUGCAGAAAUGAGUCAAAGAGCCUUCAAGGACCAUACAGUGUAAUCUGGAGAUACAGACAGGUAACAGUGCUGCAGCUGUUAUGUUGGAAGUUUGUGGGGGACAUGUGGGAACAAAGCAGGUAUAGAUUGGAGUGGUGUUUGACCUGACUUGAGAGUAGUGAUCUCAGUGGGGGAGAUCUUGGCCCCCAGGGGACAUUCUGCAAUGUCCAAAGACAAUUUUGGUUGUCACAACUUGGAGGAGGGGAGGGGUGCCACUGGCAUCUGGUGGGCAGAGGCCAGGGAUACUGUUAAACAUCCUAUAAGGGACAGAGCUGCCCCUCACCACAAAGAAUUGUCCAGCCCCACAUGUCAAUAACACUGAGGUUGAGAAACUGUAGUUUAAACAAACAGAAGAAAUGGGGUUUACCAGGCAAACUAAACAGAGAAGAAUAAUUCAGGGAAGUGGUAAGACAGGAGUGAGGGAUGGACAGAUAAGCUGGAGAUGUAAUCUGUAUGCUUAAGCUGAUUAUUUUUUCCCUUUGAACCUUAAUUUUCCCAUUCACAAAAUAGUGAUGCUAUAAUGUGGAAUGACUCACCUCUUUUCCUGGUAUCAGAAGAAAGUGCCACUGAUAAAAAUUGUGUGCCUGGGUCCCACCUACUUCUAAUUGUCCUGCUCAAGCCUACCUGUUCCUCAGCAGUGCUGGUAGCUUAUUGAUGAGAACAAAGACGGUACUUGGGAAAUCUAAGGAAGGGCAAUGUGGCAGGUAAAAUUGUCAGUAAGCCGGGCGUGGUGGCUCACGCCUGUAAUCCCAGCACUGUGGGAGGCCGAGGCAGGCUGAUCACCUGAGGUUGAGACUUCGAGACCAGCCUGACAAACAUGGAGAAACCUCGUCUCUACUAAAAAUACAAAAUUAGCCGGGCACGGUGGCGCAUGCCUGUAGUCCCAGCUACUCGGGAGGCUGAGGCAGGAGAAUGGCGUGAACCCAGGAGGCGGAGCUUCCAGUGAGCCGAGAUUGCGCCACUGCACUCCAGCCUGGGCGACAGAGCAAGACUCGGUCUCAAAAAAAAAAAAAAAAUUGUCAGUAAAAGCGAGGACUGUAUUUAAUGGCAUGUAACAAGAACCCAGCUACCACAGGAAUUAUAAUUCUUAUGUAAUGUGACAUCUGGAAAUGGGCAGUCUAGAGCUAAAUGGCCACUCCAUGGUGCCAUCAGGAGCCCAGACUCCUUCUGUCUUUCCCCUCUGACGUCCUUAGCAUGUGACUCCAAUCCGCAUAUUUGUGAGAUGGCGGCUGAACCUCUCAAUCUUUGGAAGUUUCAUCAGCAUUCCAGGCAAGGAAGAGGGGAAAAAAGGAAAAGAGCAACAGGCAAAAGGUGAAAGCCUUCCCAGUUGAGUCUCCUCCACUUAACAAACUUUCCUGGAAUCGUCUGUGCCCAGAACUUCCACGUAUGUAUACAUUGGCCUGAACCACAUUAUGUAACUAUCCAUAAACUCCAGGGAGUCUGGAAGCUGAGUGUUUUCAAGUGGGCAUCUUGAACAAAAUAGUUUUUUUUAAUAAGGAAGAAAAAGUAUAAUAGGUGCCGUGUAGGUAACUAGAACUGUUGCCUUAGUGCUUUAAAAUGAGUACAUUCAGGGCCAGGAGCGGUGGCUCACGCCUGUAAUUCCAGCACUUUGGGAGGCCGAGGGGGGUGGAUCACCUGAGGUUGGGAGUUCAAGACCAGCCUCACCCACAUGGAGAAACCCCGUCUCUACUAAAAAUACAAAAUUAGCUGGGCAUGGUGGCACAUGCCUGUAAUUCCAGCUACUUGGGAGGCUGAGGCAGGAGAAUCGCUUGAACCCAGGAGGCAGAGGUUGGGGUGAGCUGAGAUGGCGCCAUUGCACUCCAGCCUGGGCAACAAGAGUGAGACUCCGUCUCAAAAAAAGAAAAAAAAAAUGAGUUCAUUCAGCUGGGAGCGGUAGCUCAUGCCUGUAAUUCCAGCACUUUGGGAGGGUGAGGCGGGUAGAUCACCUGAGGUCAGGAAUUCGAGACCAGCCUGGCCAAUGUAACAAAACCCCGUCUCUACUAAAAAUACAAACAAACAAAAGAAAUUAGCCAGGCAUGAUGGUGCAUGCCUGUAAUCCCAGCUACUUAGGAGGCUGAGACGGGAGAAUCAUUUGAACCCGGGAGGCGAAAGCUCCAGUGAGCCGACAUCAUGCCACUGCACUUCAGCCUGAGUGACAGAGUAAGACCCUGUCUCAAAAUAUAAUAAAAUAAAAUAAAGCAUAUUGCAGAUAAUGUAACCAUUCAAUAGUCAUUCGAAAAUAUUUAUUGAAUGCCAAGUAUGUACUCAGCACUAUCGUAAGCACAGAACACACAAAAAAUGGAACCACGAAUAACCCUAGCUUCUGCGUCUAAUGAGCUUGUUGAAAUCCAGUUGGGAAAAACAUACAACAUAAACAAUAAGAAGUUGGACAACCAUGAAAGAGUUAAAUAACAAUCUAUAAUAGCAAUAUAAAAAAGCAGUACAUCACUGGUGGGAAUGUAAAAUGGUAUAACCUAUAGCCACUUUGGAAAGCUGCUAAGUUUCUAAAAAAUUUAAACAUAGUAUUUACCAUAUGAUACUGCAAUUCCACUUAUAGGUAUUUACCUAAGAGAAAUGAAAAUAUAAAGAUUUCGCCAGGUCCCGUGGCUCACGCCUAUAAUCCCAACGCUUUGGGAGCCCAACUUAGGUGGAUUACCUGAGGUCAGGAGUUCCAGACCAGGCUGGCCAACAUGGUGAAACUCUGUCUCUACUAAAAAUACAAAAAUCAACCAGGCUUGGUGGCUUGUACCCGUAAUCCCAGCUACUCGGGAAGCUGAGGCAGGAGAAUCAAGAGUCGGAGGUUGCAGUAAGACAGUGAGCUGAGAUCGUGCCACUGCACUCCAGCCUGGGCAACAAAGCGAGAUUCCAUCUCAAAAAGAAAAAAAAAAGUGAGAAUGUUUCUUAAUUGAAAAAACAUAGGCCUGUCUGGGCACAGUGGCUCACACCUGUAAUCCCAACACUUUGGGAGGCCGAGGCGGGCGGAUCACAAGGUCAGGAGUUCUAUACCAGCCUGUCCAACAUGGUGAAACCGUCUCUACUAAAAAAACAAAAAUUAGAUGGGUAUGGUGGCAGGCGCCUGUAAUCCCAGGUACUCGGGAGGCUGAGGCAGGAGAAUUGCUUGAACCCAGGAGGCGGAGUUUGCAGUGAGCCGAGAUCGCGCCACUGCACUCCAGCCUGGGUGACAGAGGGAGACUCUGUCUCGAAAAAAAGAAAAAACAUAAGUCCUUGGUUGGGAGGAAAGUUGUACUGUUCAAAUUUUUUCUGUCUGCUCCCUCUGUUGAUUCUGAGAAUUGUAUUUAUCUCCCAUUGUGAUUUGUGGAUCAUUUUCAUCAUUUCAGUCUUUGUUUUAUACAUUUCUUUUCUUUUCUUUUUUUGAGACAGAGUUUCACUCUUGUUGCCCAGGUUGGAGUGCAAUGGUGCGAUCUCGGCUCACUGCAACCUCCCCUUCCCGGGUUCAAGUGAUUCUCCUGCCUCAGCCUCCUGAGUAGCUGGGAUUACAGGCGCCCACCACCACGCCCAGCUAAUUUUUGUUAUUUUUAGUAGAGAUAGCUGUUGGGAGCAAGCCCCCCAAAGUCUGGUCAUAAACUGGCCCCAAAACUGGCCAUAAAUAAAAUCUCUGCAGCAAUGUAACAUGUCCAUAAUGGCUAUAACGCCCAAGCUGGAAGGCUGUGGGUUUACGGAAAUGAGGGCAAGGAACACCUGGCCUGCCCAGGGCGGAAAACUGCUUAAAGGCAUUCUUAAGCCACAAACAAUAGCAUAAGCAAUUCAUGCCUUAAGAGCAUGCUCCCGCUGCAGUUAACUAGCCCAACCUAUUUCUUUAAUUCAGCCCAUCCCUUCGUUUCCCUUAAGGGAUACUUUUAGUUAAUUUAAUAUCUAUAGAAACAAUGCUAAUGACUGGUUUGCUGUUAAUAAAUAUGUGGGUAAAUCUCUGUUCAGGGUUCUCAGCUCUGAAGGUUGUAAGAUCCCUGAUUUCCCACUUCACACCUCUAUAUUUCCUUUUUUUUUUUUUUUUUUUUUGAGACAGAGUCUCACUCUCGCCCAGGCUGGAGUGCAGUGGCACGAUCUCUGCUCACUGCAAGCUCCGCCUCCCGGGUUCACGCCAUUCUCCCGCCUCAGCCUUCCGAGUAGCUGGGACUACAGGCGCCCGCCACUACGCCCGGCUAAUUUUUUGUAUUUUUAGUAGAGACGGGGUUUCACCGUGUUAGCCAGGAUGGUCUUGAUCUCCUGACUUCGUGAUCCGCCUGCCUCGGCCUCCGAAAGUGCUGGGAUUACAAGCGUGAGCCACCGCGCCCGGCCUCACACCUCUAUAUUUCUGUGUGUGUGUCUUUAAUUCCUCUAGCACUGCUGGGUUAGGGUCUCCCUGACCGAGCUGGUCUCGGCAGAUAAGGUUUCACCAUGUUGGCCAGGCUGGUCUCAAACUCCUGACUUCAGGGGAUCCCCGCCCCAGCCUCCCAAAGAGCUGGGAUUACGGGCAUGAGUCACCGUGCCCAGCCAAUUUUCUUUUGUUUUUUCUUUUGAGACAGGAUCUCACUCUGUCACCCAGGCUUGAAUGCAGUGGUACCAUCUCGGCUCACUGCAGCCUCAAUCUUCUGGGCUCAAAUGAUCCUCCCACCUUAGCCUCCCGAGCAGCUGGGGCUACAAGUGCACACUACCAAGCCCAGCUAAUUUUUUUUUUUUUUUUUUUUUUUUGAGACAGAGUCUUGCUGUGUCCCUCACCCAGGUUGGAGAGCAGUGGUUCGAUCUUGGCUCACUACAACCUCUGCCUCCCGUGUUCAAGCAAUUCUCGUGCCUCAGCCUCCUCAGUAGCUGGGAUUACAGGCACGUGCCACCAUGCCCAGUUAAUUUUUGUAUUUUUAAUAGAGACGGGGUUUCGCCAUGUUGACCAGGCUGGUCUUGAACCCCUGACCUCAGCCUCCCAAAGUGCUGAGAUUACAGGUGUGAGCCGACAUGCUAGGCCUAUACAUUUCAAAAUUAUGUUGCUAUGUUCAUAAAGAUGUAUAUAUGGUAACUUGUACCUUCAAUCAACAUGAAAUACCCUUCUUUGUCCUUUUAAUGCCUUUAUGAUAAAUUCUGUCUCAUAUUAAUAUUGCUACAUAUGCUUUCUUUCCAUAAACAUUUCCAUAAACAUAAAAAUGGCUGGUAAGUCAUUUUCCUUUUUUUUAAAAAAAUUUUUGUUUUUUAGAGGCAGGAGCUCAUUCUGUCUCCCAGGUUGGAGUACAAUGGUUCAAUCAUAGCUCAUAGUUUACUGCAGCCUCGAACUCCUGGGUUCAAGGGAUCUUACCACCUCCGUCUUCCGAGCAGCUGGGACUACAGGUGCAAGUCACCACGCCUGGUUAAUUUUUUUAAAUUUUUUGUAGAGACAAGGUCACAAUAUGUUUCCCAGCCUGGUCUUGAACUCCUGGCCUCAAGCAAUCCUCCUGCCUUGAGAAAUAUAGUAAACAAAAAAUGUGAAAUAACAUGGCAGAAAUAAGUCCAAAUAAAUAAAUAAUCAAAAAUAAAUACAAAUGAUUUAUAUUCUCUUCUUAAAAGAGAGCUCUGAGAAACCCCAAAGCCAGCUAUAUGUUGUUUAUAAAGAGACAUACAUAAAACAAAACAGCAUGAUUAAGAAGAUAAUAUAACCCAUUCACAUUUAUGUUUUAUUAUUUAUAUAUUUGGACUUAUUCCUGCCAUGUUAUUUUCUGUUUUCUGCUUACCAGUGUACAGUAUUUUUCUGUUUUCCCUUUUCUGGAAUGCCUAUUUAUUUCUGUUCCUGUUUUGUCCACCCUUUCCUGACUGAUUCUUUCUGAAUAAUGACUUUUUUUUUUUUUUUUUUUUUUUUUGAGAAAGUCUCACUCUGUUGACCAGGCUGGAGUGCAAUGGCACAAUCUUGGCUAAUUGCAACCUCUGCCUCCCAGGUUCAAGACAUUAUCCUGCCUCAGCCUCCCCAGUAGCUGAGAUUACAGGCGCCCCCCACCAUGUCCGGCUAAUUUUUGUAUUUUUAGUAGAGACUGGGUUUCACCAUGUUGGCCAGGCUGGUCUCGAACUCCUGAUCUCAGGUGAUCUGCCCACCUCGGCCUCCCAAAGUGCUGGGAUUACAGGGGUGAGCCACCGCGUUUGGCCUCAAAGACCGAGAACUUUGUAAUUUAUAUAUUUUAUAGCUCUUAUCACAGGUGUCUAGUAAAUAUUUUUAAACACUUAUGGCACCUGAUGCAAGAAUUACCAGGUUCAUUUUAUAGAGAGGAUAUGAAACUGUCCAAGGGUUUGGACUCACAUGUUCAAGACUGCAUGGACAGCAAUCUGUAGUGGGUCAAAUUAUUGUUUUUAGUAUGAUUUAAAGUGUUUGUCAAAAAUAUAAAAGUUUUGAAAACAAGCUGGGGAAGUGAAUUUCAAUAUCGCAUUAACUAAGAUCAAAGUGCAAUUCAUCAACCUUUUUUCCCCAUCCCGCACCCUGUGCUUUCUCUACUCAGUUACUCACUACACCCUGCUGGACUAAAAGGGUCCUCCAGCAUUUUCUUUCUUACACAGUGAAAGACAUUCUCUUGGCAUUAAUAAAUGUUCACUUAAUAAAUAAAAAGGGCCGGGCUCUGUGGUUCCUGCCUGCAAUCCCAGCAGUUUGGGAGGCCAAGGCAAGAGGAUCGCUUGAGCCUAGGAGUUCCAGCCUAGGCAACGUGGCGAAACCCAGUCUCAAAAAAAAAAAAAAGGAAAAAAAAGGCAUCAAAAAAUAAAACGUAACAGGUGGCAUGACAUGACAUGACUUUUCUAACAGCCUCUUACAGCUUUCCAAGGUCUUUUAAUAUGAAGCUAUAGGUCUCGGCUAGAAGACACCUCCAGACUUCUCCCAAAACAUUUCAGAGGCCCGGAGUAAGUCUCCCCACAUCUGAAGGCACAUCAGAACCCAGGUGGCCCAAGCUGAUGAGAGUUAAACAGGAAGUUGGUUUCUUGGUCCGGCAGAGACUCCAAUCACCCCCACCUCUUUUCCAACCCACAGGACAGCACGUGCUCAGGAGGCUCUGGAGUUGGGACAGCCCAGUUAAAAAAAAAAAAAUCAUUGAUUUCCCUCCCAACGAAGAGGGAGAAAACACGUUAGGAGACUCGUGGCCCAGUCCUGGCAAAAACCAAAACUAUGUCCCUUUAGAGGGCUUAGAUAUCAAGAGAUGGACUUGCUUUUAGUUCUUUUUCCCAUCCUGUUCCCUCCCUACCAAAAUAAAAUUGACCAGCUAAUCCGACUUAAUAACACUAAAGAAUUACUUAGGAACCUGCUAUCUUAACAUUUCACUUUUUGCAUAUCCUCCAAAUACCAGGUAGCAGUCUUACUACUGUUUGCACCCCUAGAACCUGGAAUAGUGCUGCCCGCAGAGGAGGAAGCAAUAAUUACUUGUUAGAGAAGGUAUUGCUGUGCAUUUCUGGGGAAUUUCACAUUUUGUAAUUUGCUUUAAAAAAAGUGGACAGGCAUAUUUACGGGGGUUUCUCGGACUUCUCCAUGUUAAUAUUCGUGUGUAUAAAUCGCUCCCGUGCUGCUCUCUGGGGGCCCCUCUUUCACAAACACCUGGCCACCCUCACGCCACAAUGGCCAGGCAGGAACCUCGACCUCCCCUCGGAGAGGGGGCUCAGGGUCAACCCCGGGGUCUCAGUCUCUACAUGUGACGUUUUCCUGUCCCCUCAUUUAAAAUAACAAGAGGCUGGGCGCAGUGGCUUACGCCUGUAAUCCCAGCACUUUGGGAGGCCGAGGCGGGCGAUCACGAGGUCAGGAGAUGGAGACCAUCCUGGCCAACACGGUGAAACCCCGCCUCUACUAAACUACAAAAAAUUAGCCGGGUGUGGUGGCGGGCGCCUGUAGUCCCAGCUACUCGGGAGGCUGAGGCAGGAGAAUUGCUUGAACCCGGAGGCGAAGGUUGCAGUGAGCUGAGAUCUCGCCACUGCACUCCAGCCUGGUGACAGAGCCUGACUCCGUCUCAAAAAAUAAGAAAAAAAAAUAAAAUAAAAAUAAUAGAGGCCGAAGCGGGAGGUUCACUUGAGCUCAGAAGUUCGAGAUCAGCCUGGGCAACACAGUGAGACCUCGUUUCUAUUUAAAAAAUAAAAUAAAACUAAAUUUAAAAAAAUGCACGCUCAUAGUACAAACUUUAGAAAUGGAACGAAAAACUAAAAUUGAAGGUAUUCCCCUCCAACCCAGAGAUAACACCUAUCGUUUAUUAAGCCCUCACUAUUGUUAAACUUA
rnacentral:lncRNA from 1 species